rnacentral:rRNA from 1 species
GAUUAGAAGCUUGCUUCUAUGACGUUAGCGGCGGACGGGUGAGUAACACGUGGGCAACCUGCCUGUAAGACUGGGAUAACUUCGGGAAACCGAAGCUAAUACCGGAUAGGAUCUUCUCCUUCAUGGGAGAUGAUUGAAAGAUGGUUUCGGCUAUCACUUACAGAUGGGCCCGCGGUGCAUUAGCUAGUUGGUGAGGUAACGGCUCACCAAGGCAACGAUGCAUAGCCGACCUGAGAGGGUGAUCGGCCACACUGGGACUGAGACACGGCCCAGACUCCUACGGGAGGCAGCAGUAGGGAAUCUUCCGCAAUGGACGAAAGUCUGACGGAGCAACGCCGCGUGAGUGAUGAAGGCUUUCGGGUCGUAAAACUCUGUUGUUAGGGAAGAACAAGUACGAGAGUAACUGCUCGUACCUUGACGGUACCUAACCAGAAAGCCACGGCUAACUACGUGCCAGCAGCCGCGGUAAUACGUAGGUGGCAAGCGUUAUCCGGAAUUAUUGGGCGUAAAGCGCGCGCAGGCGGUUUCUUAAGUCUGAUGUGAAAGCCCACGGCUCAACCGUGGAGGGUCAUUGGAAACUGGGGAACUUGAGUGCAGAAGAGAAAAGCGGAAUUCCACGUGUAGCGGUGAAAUGCGUAUAGAUGUGGAGGAACACCAGUGGCGAAGGCGGCUUUUUGGUCUGUAACUGA